CCUCUGCUUCAAGGGUCACUAAGUGCUUUUUCUUGCCUGUGUGCUCUGCUGCUGCUGUUUGCUUCUCUCCCCAGCUGCCAGAAUGAUGGAGACACCCACUCUUGGACUGGAACCUCCAAAACAGGGAGAAAAUUGAGGCCACGGAGUGAUCUUGUAACUUGCCAGACAUCUUUAGGCAUAGAAAGAGAUCUAGACCCAAAUCAUUACCAGCCUUGCAAGCAUCUAUUUCCCUUCUGACCAAGGCCAAGUCAGAGUGAAUGCUAACCAGUAGUUCACACAUGAGCUCUUCCUGGAUUGACAGGAGCCACACAUCAGCCUGCACACUCAGCUUUACCUAUUAGUUUCUGAGAGGAAGAUUGCAAUACAAAUGGUUUCCAAAGCUAAGAAUCAUUUGAGACCCACAGGAACACUGUGCUUGCCCCUUAUGGCAUUGUGGAGCUGUUUGUAGUUCUAGGGUUCACAUCUGGGCAUUGUCAGUGAAUGCUGUGUCAGAAAGAUCCACAGUCUUGGAAGGGAAGGAAGAGAAGGAAGGAAGGAAUGUGAAAACUUUUGUUACUACCAGCGCUGGUAAGUCUUCAAGAUUCCCAAGUGCCAAUGUUUUAAAUAACUAUCUUCCUGUAUUCCUGCUUCCUUUGAUAAGCAUCCUUGGAAUACCCAUCUUGAGGAAUUGUGCUUACAAGGCACUGGAGAUCAGAUAAUUAAAAACACCUUUUAUUUGCCUUCAAUAUCUUCACAAUCUGAAAGUGGAGACAGACAUGGAAUCAAAUCGUGAAGGAAGAAGUAGAAGUUUGUCAUAGACAUGAUGGUGGCAGAAGGGGAAUCUGAUGGGAUCCGCUUAAAAGAGUAACCUCAAAAGACAAAACAGAAAAGCUGGACUUCAAUACAUAGACACAGGAUAUCUUGAAGCAUCUUGAGCCAGGGCUAAAUAGAGAGACAACUCUGAUUCUCCAAAUAGGCAGAAUCACAGGGAAUUCAGAGGGAGAGAAUCAGAUUGGGAUUCCUCACCAGGUUUUUACCACCUGUAACAAACAGGGGAAACUCUGGGGUGUGCUUUUCUUCUUAUUUCAAUGCAAGUGAUGGGAAAAAUAGCAGAGGUUCUUUUUUCCCCAAAAAUUAAUCUGUUCCAGCAUAGUUAUAGCCAUUUCAUUGCCAAAACUCUGACAUGUGGGCUUACUCCACUAGCCUAGAGUUGCAUCAGUUCUAAAGUUUGGAAUGAAGAGAAUGAUGGAGGGCAGAGAGAAGAUCUCAUGUCAAAAUGCUUCAGUUAUCAUCUGCAACCUAAGGAUUGGUAUUUAUCAUUUGAUGAGUAAUCUGCUGAUUCAACCUGAAAAUUCAGUGUUACACCAACUGUAUAACUCUAGGCUUCACACAUAUUUGGUGAGACAUCAAAAAACCUAUAAACUCAGAUCAAAUUUUGUUCACCUGUAAUUUUUUGAUUUUCCACUACAUCAUAAUAGUAACACUUUGGUUGAACUAGUUGAGCUCUAUAACUCAUAUUUUGCAUAUCAUCAUAUUAAAAUUUCACAUUCAGUACUUACAUCUUACAAUCCACCCAACAUUAAGUACUCUCAUUUCUGCAAGCUUCAGUUAUAAUCACCAUUUCACAAAAUCUAUAAAUCCAUUGUUAGGAUGGACUUACCUAAGUAUCUAUAUUAUGUGUGUUUCUAUGUGUAUGGGUUGUAUAUUGUACCUCAUAUGCAUUCUCAGCACCCACAAUAGAAAUUAUUUGCACAUAGUAGGAAUUUUAAAAAUCAAAAAUAUCAAGCAUAUGGUAUUCCUAGUAAAAGGGGUAAUCAUAUUUAAUUAAAUGUAUAUGACCAUCUGGAUUUAGAAUUGGCCAUGCAGGAUAGACCUUCAAAUGCUGUCACUAUAACACCUGUAAUGCACCGAGAGGCAUUCAGGAAAUAUUCAAAUCAAUUUCUGAAUUAUUAAACAGGAAAAAGAUGAGAAAUGUGUUUUGCCAGGGUAGAAAAUGGCACUUUGAAAACUGUAAUUGUGAGCUGCAUUUUCCCAACAAGUUGAAAUGAGCAUUUAGAACCAGCCAUCCAUGCCUUCGUUGAGCAUGAGUACAUGAGUGAGACUGGCUAACCAUUGUUGGGUUCUCUCCCAGGUCCUCUGGCCACCAACUCCAGAAAGGCUGGAAAGCAGCUGACUGCUGACAGUCUGGCCAAGGGAUCACUUGGGAAGUGAUUAGGAAUGGCUGAUAACUGUCUCUCAGGAGUUCUGCUGAACUCAGCUAAUGCAAUUUUGCUUGUAAUUUAAAUCAAAUUUUAGUCUAUCCAUUAAGAGAUAAAGAAGCUAACAUAUCUUAAACCUGUCUUGUCUUCCUCCUCCCUUCACUCUUGCCACUAUCCUGGCCAAGAAUCCUGUAACAUAAUGGAAAAAGAGUCAGCAGUUAUUGCUUAAGGUUCUGAUUUCAGACAAAAUGUCUUUUCCUUUGUCGGGACGCUUUCACAUUUGGAAAGGACUCUACCUGAAACUGCAAAAAUGGCCUAUAUGCUCAGUUUUCAUUUUCUACUCUGAGGAGACUGUCUGCUUACUCUGUCUUGUGGACUCUGGCACAAAGCUUACACUUAUUUCAUAACCAUUGUCAUCUCCGAAAUCCCUACUCAUGUAUUUUGCCUAUCUAGUUAAAUAGCAUCAGAACGGUAGGGAAAAAAGUUACUAAAAAUCUAAGUAAAAAAUUACUAAAUAUGACCUUUUUCACACAAUUAACAUUCUGAAAUGCAGUUGCUAUGUUGUAAUGUUACAGGAUUAUAAUGACUAUAGCCAGUUAGAAACUUCCAAAAAGGUGUCUUAAUUAAGAAGAAAGUGGCAUUGUUUUCCAUACCAAUUAUAAUAUGAAAUGUUUGCAGAGAAUGCAAGUAUAAAACAAGUUGUCAAGAUAUAAAGCUAAAGCUAAAAGCUUUGAAAAUGCUGACAUAUGAAUGUAAAUUCCUUACAGUAGAAUCCAUCUGAAGAAUGCCUCCAUAGUCAUUAAGACAAUGUGAAAGUUUAGAAAGUUGUUGCAUAUAAUGAAUAAUAGAUCUAUCCUUAGUGCUUAAAAUUAUACUUACUUAUUUGGAUGUGUUAUUUUAAAGUAUUUCUUUACAUGUUGUAUAUAGGUUAAGUAAUUUAAUAAGGCAUCAUUUCAGAAAUACUCGGGAAAAUUUCCAGCUACAUGAUUCAGAUACUUCUAUUAACACACAGUAGGAACUUGUUGAGCUUAAUUAAAUUUGGUUUACACCAGCAUCCAUACUGAACAAUAAAUACGGCCUAAAGCAGCUUCCACACACAACACACCGUGCCCUGGCUUGUAACUUACUUUAGAAAUCUACUCUUGUAACCAUGAAAUUGAGUCCUAGCUAAUCACAGCAGCUGAACUUCAAGUCAAUCUGAAGUGGAAAACUGCUAAAACAUGAUCCUAUAAGUAAAUGCUGGCUGCAGCCAAUCAGAUCGUUUGUAUAUGUCACUUCCUUUCCUGCAUAUGUGGUAGAAUGAGACAUUCUGAACCGGUUCUGAUCUGGAGUCCUCCUUUGUUCUAGAACCUUAUUCUUAAGUAAACAUUGUUAAAUUUAAAUGAUCUCGGCUUUUUUUUUUUUUAACAUCUCUUGUUGACUACAGCAAGAGGCAUUUAUUGUUGCUUAGCGUGUGGCAGAUCUUAGGCACUGUAUGUGAAUUAUUUAGUUUUACAACAACCUUAGGAGGUAUUAUUUUGUCCAUUUUAUAGAUGAAUGAAUGGGACAUAAAAGUUGUAAAUAACCUAUAAAAGCUCUCAUGGACAGCAGGUAGCCACAAUGGGAUUUAAAUUAAUUCUGUGAAGCCAGUGUGUUCUCUAACCCACUCUAAUACACCAUCUCCAUGCUAAUAUCAAGCCUUGCUAAGGAGUGACCUUCAACCAGAAUCACUGGUCCAGUCUUAAGAAUGAUGUAAGGAAUGCCUCAGUCAAUGAGACUAAUGAAUCUAGGACCCUGAUCUAUGUUUUUUUAAUAAGGAGUAUGAGAUGCCUACUUGUUUAUUUUGCUUUUUUGGCCCCCUCUGCUUCAUCUUACCAUCUGCAGGAUAUCCUUCUGCCAUUCCCAGACUCAUCUCAAUAUCUAGAGCACUUUUUUAAAGUCAGAUCCUUCAUCACAGUAUCACUAUCUAUAGCAGACCCUCCCACUGCCUCCUAUUUGUCCCUUUUGCCCUGGUUCUCCUUGCCUCCCAUGUAGGUUAACUCUGAGGCAUAUUCUACAUCUUUUCACAAACCUUCCCAAAGAGAUUGAGCUUUAGUUGUCUAGCGUGGUGAUUUACCUAAUAACUGAAAAAUAUGCUUUGUCUGUUUCUUUUCUCUCACGCCUCAGUGUUUCCUAUGAAUUCUAGGAGAAGACAAAUCAAGAUACUAUUUCAAUUGAUGUCAGCUUCUAAUGGUCUCCCGCCAAUGAAUGAUAUUGAUCAUCACUAAAAUUGUGUCCCUAGAAAAUGAGUACCACUGCAAAGGAGUUUAGGAAAGUAAAACAAGCAAACUGCCCUCCUACUGGAGCUGAUCAGAAGUCUACAGAGAGGCCAGGGCUCACCCCGAGAUUCCUGCAGCCACCUACAAAUCACUGCUGUCUGCCCAGUAACUUACCAUUGCCUCUCCACUUAGUUUCAUUUCAGGCACCACACAAAGAAGCUAUUUGAAAACCUUAGGUUUAGAACAUAUGUUGGCUGGAUGACACACUCCAACUGUGUUAGGAUGAUCCUGAACAGUCAGCAAGCAUUUCUGAAAGUUCUGGUGACUGUGAAUGUGAGUGAAUCCUCAAAACUUUUCUAAUUCUGUGCAGAAUGAUUCAUAAAAGUCCUUUCAUAAACCUUUAUUCACUGCCCUUCAAGGAUGAAUUUCUGUACUGCACAGAAGCCAUUUUGAUCUAUAACACUGACUUUUCUGCUAUAAAUGAGCAAAAUGGGUGUCCCAUCUCUAGGCAUACUUGGUUAUGCAAAAAGGUAACAUUCACUGACACUUUGUGAGUAGUGUAUUCAAGAUCAUUUGCCUAUAUGAGACAGGAUCCAUAAGUUUGAAAAGGUCACACAAUAUCUCAUCUCCUCUGAUUUUUGAACUACAUAAUAUAAAUAUGGCAUAGUUCUAUUGGAGUAACAGAAUUCCCAAAAGCUGCCCAAAUUCAGAGGGAAAAAUGUAGAGGUUUGAGGGAAGGAGCAAAUCUCUCAUUUUCCCUUGAGCAGUAUCAUUCAGUUUGGAUUUUCUCCUGGAAUUUCCAAUAUAUUUAAAUUUAGAUUUAUAAUUUCCUAUAUAUAUAUAUAUAUAUAUAUACAUACACACACACAAAUUUCAUAUGCCUUUCAAGACACUAAUACCUUCUUGUCAUCUUUGCAUGGUAUUGACCACUGAGCAAUCCAUUGACUACUUUCCUAAAUCUCUUUAAAAAGAAAAAUUUCAUCAAUAAGAAGUCAAUAUGUUAAUAAGAAAUAGAGAAAAAAAUGCACCAUUAAGACUGGAGGGAUGCAGGUAGAGGAGACCCUUGACAUGAGCCAUACUAGUAACCCAGCUACUGAAGUUAGGGACAAUCGAACUGAACGGGGUCUCACACUCAUGUACCUUUACUCCUCAAAAGUUGAUCUGACUUUUAAAUCCAAUUCUGAUUCAAUCAUUGUGGUUUUUCUUCUGCAUAUUGUUUUGGGUGGAAAUCCACAAGUUGUAAUGUUACAAAGCUAGUAAAGUGCAAUUUAGGGUUAUACAACUGAAAAUGAGGUGGUAAAAAGAACUGUUAAAUUAUUGCUUCAAGUCUGUGUAGACCAUUUCCCACAAUUGUUCUAAAUUCAAAUUGGUCACUUGUGACAAAUAAGCAAUACUUAUGAACAAGUUUUGUUCUCCUUUCUGAAACUCUAUUUAACAUUUGAGAUUGUGAUUAGCUAAAAUAGAUUCUCUGAGUCAAGGCAAAAUUACCUUCUUUUAGCCUUGACAUCAGAGGAAGGAGGCUUCGUGCUCUAUAGUUGUCAGAGGAAGAAAACAAACAACUUAAAUCUAUGACUAGUUACCAGCCAGAAUCUGUUGUAAUAAUCAUACUUUUGUGAAAAUCAAUUAAGAACAAGGCAUUUUAAUUCACUAUCUCUAACCCUCAUGAAAACCAAGAAAAUAGGUAGUAUUAUUUUCUCAGAAAGAAACAGCAGCUGCAAGAAGUUACAUGUGCCCCCAAUCUAAUAGCUAACACAUAGCUGGACUUAAUAGGUAAAGUCAAGUCUUAGUAGUUCCCAGAAUGAGUAACUGACCAUUUCCUAGCUUUAAUUCAUAACACACUUUAAUGAAAUGAAAACUUACCUGGAGCCUAAUAAGUGAAACAAAUAAAAGAGAACCUCUGAUUAUAAAGGAAAAUUCUGGACCCUUACAACACAGGUUGCUUCCUUAUUUUCCAACCCUCUCUACAUCAACCUCAGUACUAUACUGGAAAAUUGAAGUCCCAAGGAACCGCAGUGUGGGCUUCUUCCCAGCAACCACAAACAUGAGCAUCCUCCUGUCUAUCAGGAGUCACCAACUCAGAUACUUAGAUGUAUUCCCAUUGCAACCUUACUGCAUUUUUGAGGAAAAUGCAAGUUUCUCUGUCCCAUGCAUUCUACCCAGUUGCACCAUGAAUUUUAAAGUUAUAGGUCUCUGUGGACCACUGUGGGUUUUUGUUGUUGUUGUUGAAUUUUAUUUUCUGAACCCAAAUUCAAAACUCUGAUUAUUAAAGAAUACAAUUAAUGAAAGUCUAUGUAAACACAUGAUAGUUAACAGAAAGAGGGAAAGUUGGAAACAUGGUACAGCACCCAAAAAGUUGAUACUGUUUGCACUACUGUCUAUUUUAUAGUCAUACAUGCUAAUAUACGCUGUAUGUAUUUCAAAGCAUAGUAUGUGUGCAUAUAAAUAUAAAAAGUAAAAUUAAACUCCACUAUCUUUUCUGUGUAAUACAUAUGAAUUAAAAAAAAAAAAUCUGCUAAGACAUUCUCCCCUGGCAAUGCUGCCAGGGGCAGAAUGAUGUUAUUUUAAAUUCUUCUCUCAUUAGAAGAAAAGAGAGGCUGCUUCUUCUGAGUCUGUAUGUAUUUGUACCAGAGCUUAACUGGCAUUUUCAUUGUGGUAUUUAUGAAUCAUAAUGCAGUUCCACCACAGUUUCUGACACACUCAUUAAUUUGUUCCCAGCGGCGGUUCAUUACCAACAUCACAAGCAAAACAUGUGCUCUCCUGGGCACUCAGGGUCCACCGGAAAUUAAGCAGACAGGGCUGCAAAGCCCCUCUGAGCAAAGCCAGCCAGCUACAGCUCCCGCAGCAGGCUGGGGGCAGUGCAAAGCAGCCGGGAUGAAAGACAGCAGCGCCUUCCCAGGUGCCUCCUAGCCGCCAGAGCUCUCUGCAGACAUACAGCAGUGAUUCCCUGAAAAGGAGGGUGUCUUGCUCUCUCAGGGAAGCUCCCUCUCUGAUCAGCCUCCUCUGAAGGGGGAGGAGCAGCAACUUUACAUUCUUCAUUCUUCAUACAGGGGAGACAAGCUGUUUCCUGUCCUUCCACUUGGUUCUGCUUCCUGUAGGCACUGACCUUUCCCAGACAAUGGGAAGUUGUGAGCCCCGGCUUGGAGUGCUUUACCACAGCGUCCUCCGUGAGGCAUUAAGUAAGGCAGCACAUUCCACAAGAGCAGUUCCCUUAAUUUAGCUUCCCAGGAAGCCCUGUUUUAUCUUAAAAGAAACUCAUUGUUCUAACAACAUGGCAGGUAGGAAACAAGAAGAAUCCAGUUGUCUGUUAAUGCUUUGUCGUCAGCAGAUGCACAGUGCCUGGAUCCUACCAUGUGAGCGCUAUGCUCAGGAGCUGCAGAUCCAGGUCCACCCCAUGAGCUGAGCAGCAUGACUUCCAGGCAUCUCGGCAGAGUGGCCGAUCUGAAGCCAGGAGCCAGGUGCUUCUCCUGGUCUCCUAUGGGGUGCAGGGCCCAAGCACUUGGGCCAUCCUCCACUGCACUCCCAGGCCACAGCAGAGAGCUGGCCUGGAAGAGGGGCAACUGGGACAGAAUCUGGUGCCCCGACCGGGACUAGAACCCAGUGUGCCAGCGCCGCAGGCAGAGGAUUAGCCUAUUGAGCCAUGGUGCCAGCUCGUGUUAACAUUCUAUAGAGCCAACACUUUGACCUUACUAAUGAUACAUUUGUCAUGCUAUAUUUUUGAUAUUCGUAUAGUCAAGUAUUCCAUUUUAUGAUGACAUCAGAGAUUCCUGCCUAGAUGAAGAAUGCUCAAUCAUCCCCAGGCUAUGAAAAUAUUCCCCUGUAAUUUUUUUUUUUUUAAGACAGAGUUAAACAGUGAGAGAGAGAGAGAAAGGUCUUCCUUCCAUUGGUUUACCCCCCAAAUGGCCUCCAUGGCCGGCGCUGCGCCAAUCCGAAGCCAGGAGCCAGGUGCUUCCUCCUGGUCUCCCAUGCGAGUGCAGGGCCCAAGCACUUGGGCCAUCUUCCACUGCCUUCCCGGGCCUCAGCAGAGAGCUGGACUGGAAGAGGAGCAACCGGGACAGAAUCUGGUGCCCUGACCGGGACUAGAACCUGGGGUGCUGGCGCCGCAGGCAGAGGAUUAGCCAAGUGAGCCGCGGCACCGGCCUCUCUGUAAUUUAUUCUAAGAUGCUAUUAUUUUGUUUUUAUUCAGCUCUUUAAUUCAGUAUGGCACAAUCAAUAAACUAUGCUGAAAUAAAAUGAAUUGUUGGUCAUAUGAUAAAUUUCCAUAUAAAUUUGGAUAUAGUUUCUAUUUUUCCAAGUACUCUGAUAGAACCUGACCAGACAGUGGUGCAUAUACUUUGUCAAAUUCCCCAGCACAAAGUUCUCUUAGUAUUUUACUAGUUCAAACUCCUAACUUGACCGCACACUUAUUGGCACAUAGUGUGCAACAGUCAUUUUCUAAAUACUUUUUACAAAUUACUUAUUUUACCCUUAUAUUAAUCCUGUAAGGCAAGUAUCCACUUGCCCCAUUUUCUUUUGUGUGUGUGUGUGUGUGUGUGUAAAUGAGUUUAUUGACAAAGACACAAGGUCAAGCUCCCUCCACCCUUCCCUAAGACAGACCCCAACAGGAACAGAAGAAUCACAGGCAUUCACAGAGCUACAUUUCUUGUCCCCGCCCCAUCGCUCUCCAGAGUCCCACAGUUCACAACACAGGCACAUGGAUCAGGCUUGGGUGAGGACACUCAGAACUUACCCCAUUUUCUAUAUUCAAAAACUGAAUGUUAGAGAAUUGACUUGCCCAAGAUCCCAAAUGUUGGGGCUAUAAUUCCAGCUUGCAGUGUUGCCUCAGAGUCUUCAUGUUCAGCAUCUGAAUUUAUUAAUGAUAGUCUUAUUUUUUUAUCUUAAACACUCUACCUAUUGCAUCACUGAAGGUACAGAGGGAAUAUUUGAAUUGAACAGGAAAAAAACACUAAACUUCUUUCAUUAUGGAGUCUUAUAACAUUAGGAAAUAAUGGUUUCCAAUGAGUUUGCUUCUUGAACAUCCAGAGUGAUUUCAAAACAGGGUCAUUUCAGUAGCUACAAAGGAAUAGCCCUAAUGAGUUCUGCUCAAGAAUCUUCUUCUCACCAGGAAAUGAUUGAAGACAAGGGGCUAACCUCUCAUUAAUUCCUUAUUAACUAUUUUAAUCAGGAUUACAUCACUGUCUUCCUCUGAGCACAGACAGUUGCCGGCAGGCUUUGGUGCUCAAAUUCAUUAAGCUGACAAGGUGGAAAGGUCUGGAGAGCUACAGGGGUCAUUCCUGUGCCCCUGCGAGCAGCAUUUGGCGAAGACAUGAUUCUCUCAUUUCUCAGAGUGGCAGCCUUCACUUGGGUUUAUUGCCACACAUCCCUCAGAAGUCUGGCACCAGUGGGUUUUUUAAAUUUUUUUUUAAAAAAAGUUCUUUGUGACUGGGAGCAUGAAAGCCUUUUAGCAAUGUGGGUUGGGACAGACAGAACGCAGCAGCAAGUCAGACAGUUCCAACCGUAGUAUAGAGCCCUCAUUCAUUGUGGCAAAUGGAGUCCCUCCCCAAAGUGCCCCCUCCACAGGGGAUCCAGCCUCUUCAGAUCCAAUCACUCUGGAGUGGGACUUGGCCAGGGACCUACCCACCAUUUUUAGCCUAUGCAAUAUGGGCAGGACAGGACUGCUCAACUUUAGGAUACCUCACUGGACUCAGGCCUAAGUGACAGCAGCACAGGUUUGGUUCAGGGAUUGUUGGCUGAGACAAUGGCAUAUGAAAGACCUUCUGGAAGAUCAUAUGGUGUCCUAGAUCACACAGGAGAUCAUGUGCUCACACCCUGGGGAGCAGCUGCCUGGGUUGUCACUUUGCCACUUGUUAGACAUAUGACCUUAGACCUUAUUUAAUGCUCCUAUGUAGCAAUUCUAUUAUUUCUGAAGCAACAUUAACCUAAGUAUACCUCUCACAGGAAGAUGUAAAGACUGAAUGACUUAGUAAAAGAAAAUUACUUACAUAGCAAGUGUCAAACUAAAUGCUAAUUCAAAUUAUUAUCACCUUUCUUUCAUGAGCCUUCUAGAAAAGAAAUUUCUUACCCUUUUUCCUGGGAUUUGAAGCUCAGAAGUAUAAAGUCAGGAACUGCUGCAGCUACUGUCUGACCCUAAAGUGAACAUGGUGGACAGAGAAGUGAGGAGACACAGAAUGAAACCUGGUCCUGGAGGCCCCCAUUCUUAACCAAAAGAGAAAACUAAAUAAAGAAGCAAAAAUGGCUGUUCAACUUUGUAAAGCCAUGCCCCAGAUGAAGAAUCCAACUGCCUUGAAGUACAGAAUACCAGAAACCUGGAAGGUGAUAACUAUGUUGGAGGGUGAAGGUCUGAAGCCAGCCCCACCCAUCCUGCACUUUGGAUAGCUCAGGACAAUUGUGAUCUUGGGGACUCUGGUUCCUGCUAAUUCACACCUCGGGAGGCAGCAGGUGACCCCUGCCACCCACAUGGAGACCUGGAUGGAGUUGAGUCCCUGAUUUCAGCCAGGCCCAGACCCAGCUUCUGUGGCCAUUUGGGGGGUGAAUUAGUGGAUGGAAGCUUGCUUUCUCUCUCUCUCUCUCUCCCUCCCUCCUUCCCUCUGUGUGUGUAUGUAUGUGUUACUCUGCUUUUUAAGUAAAUAUACGUAAAUAAAGCCUUUUUAAAUUUCACAAAAUGGAAUUUAAAAAUGUUUCUUUGGGGGCAAAAAAAACCUGAAGUCCACACAUGUGAAGAAUCUUCCUAAAAAAGGCAUGGGACAGGAAAUAUGCCACAGCAGGUUUAGUACCUACUUGGGACACCCACCCACUUUCUAUACUGGAGGGUCAGUUCAAGUCCCUGCUACUCAAUUUCCAAUACAGCUUCUUGCUAACACAUCCUGGAAUGCAUCAGAUGAUGGCUCAAAUAUUAUGCCCCAUGUUAUCCAUGUGGGAGACCUGAAUGGAAUCUUGACCUCCUGGCUUCAGUCUGGCCCAGCCCUAGCUGCUGUGAGCAUUUACAGAGUGGGCCAGCAGAAGGAAGCUUCUCUUUCUUCUUGUCUGCCUUUCAGGUAGAUGAAAAUACACAUUAUUAAAAGUUCAUGACAAUGCAUAUUAUAAAAAAAUCUAUGUAUGCAUGGCUUUCAAAUUGUUUACACCAAAAGAAAUUUCUCCUUUAAUUAUAUGUACUUUAUUGAAGUACCCUUUUAUAUAACUGUCCUUAAAGAACCUUAACAUUGUCCAUCUUACAGAGAAACGAUCUGAGCAUUGAGAACUUGAGAAACUGAACCAAUGUUGCAGGGCUAUUUAGGGGCUAUGCUAUGAAUAGAACUCAGGGUAUCUCAAAUCCUCUUUGGCACUCUUUGUACCACCUGUGCUGUAUACAUUGUAGUCAGGGGUUCCACAGAUUCUUGUUACACAUAAUAUGUGAUUAAGAUACUGUGUCAGUUGCCAUAAGAAUGAUGUAACACUAUCCGUCCUCAUUCGGAUUGAAUAAAUCAAAUGAUAUUUACCAAAAAAAGGCAUUGUCCAUUGGGACUUUAACAUCACAGGGGCUAAGUCAUCCAUGUCAUUCCCCUCCAAAUAUGACACUUCUCUAAAUAUACAAGUAUGUUUGGGUGGGAAUCCAAGCUAUGGCACACAUCUGGACCACCUGGGAUAGCCGAUCUUGGCAAAUGUUAUCUCCACAAGCACUUCCUACUCUCAAAGCCACAACAGACCAACCACCAUGAACACAGAGCUACUUAGCAGAAGACUUUGUGGUCAGGAUGUUUUUCAUUGCAUUUUGCCAAAUAAAUUUUUCUGUCCUCACUGCUCAAGGCUGCCCACUUUAUGUGCCAACAUCUCAGCUUUUGGACCCUAUUAUUAUGUUCUCUUUCAAGGCAGACAGGAAAGAGGAUGGACAGAAUGACUUGGACAUAGGGUAAGACCUUGGUAAAUAAUCAGGGCUAUUAGAACCUAUUAUGACAUCAUUAAAUAUCCAGGAAAAUCUGUGCAUGUAUUGUUAAA